ensembl:lncRNA
AUUUGAACGUACGCCAAUGUGAAAUAAUAGUGCACAUGUAUGUGAGGCAGCCUAUCCCGCCACACGCCAACGCAGCGCAGGCUUGGCUCCUCUGGCACAGAGACACAGGGAAACGCCCACCGUACGUGAACGCCCCCAAUCGUGGGAUCGCGAGGCUCCGAUAGGUCGGCGCAGGAGAUUCUCGGGCUUUAUAAAGGACCAGGUUGCGACCAGUUGCCCUGCUGCUGCUUUCGCUUAUUUCUGUCUUAAUUCCAUCUUUUGUACCUCCGUUACCACCAUGCCCAGCAACCAUAAGAAGAACAAGCGCCGCAUGAGGAAAAAGUUCCUCGCCGGCCAAACAGAAGCUGCAGAGAUCAAGAAACUGCAGGAGUCUGCUUUGAUUCUGCCAGGGCAGAAGAUUGUAUUUCCAGCUUCUCUGAUCACGCCAGUGAGAGAAGUGAAGCCUGUGGUCUUGGUCAAAGAACAUGUCAAUGUUCCCAAAGCUGCCAAGGUUGCCAAACCCCGAAAGCCAGUGCAAGCAGAUGUUAUUGAUGGGAUCAGCGCAAAGGCACCAAAGGCCAAACCUGCAGCAGCUGUGGUGGCAGCCGUAGUCGCCGAAGCCAUAGCCCCAGCAGAGAAGGCAGUUUGCAAACCUGUGCAGGCACCAGUUGCUGAAACCAAAGUAGCAGCUGAAGUAACGGCAGAGGUGGCUGUUGCAGUCCCAGUGGUAGUGGCUGAAGUACCGGAGGAAGCGGCUGAAGUAACUGCGGUGGAGGCUGUUGCUGCACCAGUGGUGGCAGAGGAGGCGGUUCAAGUGGUAGCAGAAGAGGUUGUCGACGUACCGGUUGUAGCAGCUGAAGUAACGGCAGAGGAGGAUGUUGUAGCAGCUGAAGUAACGGCAGAGGAGGAUGUUGCCGCACCAGUGGUAGCAGAGGAGGAUGUUGCCGCACCAGUGGUAGCAGAGGAGGCUGUUGCCGCACCAGUGGUAGCAGAGGAGGCUGUUGCCGCACCAGUGGUAGCAGAGGAGGCUGUUGCCGCACCAGUGGUAGCAGAGGAGGCUGUUGCCGCACCAGUGGUAGCAGAGGAGGCUGUUGCCGCACCAGUGGUAGCAGAGGAUGCUGUUGUAGCAGCUGAAGUAACGGCAGAGGAGAUUGUGGUAGCAGCAGCAGAGGAGGCUGUGGCUGUACCAGUGUUGGCCGCUGAAACCGAAGCCACACCAGAACCCAUAGCAGUAGCAGAUCCAGUAGUGGUGGAGGCUGUGGUCGCUGAAACCGAAGCAACACCAGAACCAGCAGCAGAGGAGGCAGUUACUGAAAUUGAAGUCCUACCUGAGCCAGCCACAGUGGAGGAGGCGGUUGUCGAUGCCGCAGUCACCGAAACCGAAGUCCUACCAGCAGCAGUGGCGGAGGCAGUUAUCGAUACAGUGAUUGUUGCAGUUACCGAAACAGAGGUCCUACCCGAAGCACCAGCAGAAGCAGUGGAGGAGGCGGUUAUCGAUGCUGUGUGUGCCGCAGUUUCCGAAAUCGAAGUCUUGCCAGCAGCAGUGGAGGGGGUGGUUAUCGAUACCGUGAUUGCCGCGGUUACAGAAACCGAAGUCACACCAGAAACGGCAGCCGUGGAGGAUGUUAGUGAAACAGUCUCAGCCGUGGCAACAGAAACCGAAGUCGUAGCGGAAACCACAGUGGAAGCAGAGUCGGGAGUUGAGGCUUCUUUGGAAAUUGAAGCUGUUGUUGAGGAGGUGGCUGUAGCGUGCGAAAGUGAGCCAUCCGUGGUGGCUGAAGUGCAGGUUGAAGAGAAGAGCGUCGAGGAGGUGGUGGUGUUGACUGAACAAGUUGUCACAAUAGAUGAAAACACAGAGAGCACACUAGAGGUAUUGGCAGAAGACCUCUGUCACCUCGAGCAGAAGGCUUUCAUCGAAGAGCCUUGUCUGACAGAGCUUCCAACAAAGACCAUGACAAUGGAGAUUUCCCCACUGGAAGGCCUGGUUUCUGCUCAGACUCCGGUUGAUUUACAUUGAGAACUCGGGCCACGUUGAGAUCUGCAUGUGAUGCGAUGCAGAUUAAAUUGACGGGACGGAAGACUCUAUCCAGGGGCUGAGCAGUCACACUCUACCCUAUCCAUUUAUCAAAGGGUUUAAACACAGAACUUUCAAACAAUAAUCACACUAAAGUGCCUUCUUAUAAAGUAACAUGAAGUUCUCCAAGGAAUCGACUCGUCUUCGGCCCUGUCGGGUAUAAUCUGGACCAACGGGUAUCUUUAAAGGAUGCACAUGGGUUGCGGGGGUUGAUUAGGAUACAUAUGGCUUUGUUAGGGUACAUGUGGGGUAGAACACAUAGAAGGUCCGAUACAUGGUCACACCCGAGGCUCGUUGCCACGGAGACAGUGUUCACUGUUGAAGAUGCUAUACCAGCAAGGCGCAUCAAUCAAGUCCAUUUUUUCCUCGUUUUUAUUCCCCGUUUUUUUUUCUUUCACCUUUUCUAUACUGUGUUUUAUAUAAUCCAUACAAUGUGCUUUAGCAAAGCCCAGAAAAAGUGAUGGGGUUUUGUUGGUUGGGACAGAAGAACUUUCAUCUUUAUGAAAUAAAUGAAGCUGUAACUCAACUGAAUAAAGAUUACAAAUGUGAUAUUGAUAAUGUUAUUUCUUUGGUUUUGCUGGUUGCGGUACCUUCAUUUUGAUUACUAAAUCAGGGGGAGAGAAGGUAGAGCAGGCAAGCUGGGGAUCUGGAGAGUUACUGUAAAGAUGCUCUUUGAUUAUUCACUGCCUAAAAUGUUGGUGUCCAACUGACACAAGACCUCACCUACAUACAAACACAGUGGCCUCUUGCUAUAUGCUGAUCAACGUACACAAGGUGGUUUGUUAAGGGAAAAUCCAACAUUGGGACAAUUGUGUAACCCUGCCCUUGUUCCUAAUUGCCUACAUAUUGUGGUCGGCCAAUGUGCACCGUGUACAUCAGAAUUGUCCAAUAGCGAUCGGUGGACUACUCGGGUGUAAACAUUUCGCAUGGGCGAGGAAGGUUACUUUGGCACUUCAGACCUGAGCAUAAUAUUAACGACCCUGAACCAUAUAUAAUAGGUUAUUAAUCAAAAGUAGGCGGCGAAGGGCAAUAAAAGCUUGGGUAUGACACAAUUACAAUAAUAGUUAAAUGUAGGUAUACGUGUGUAUUUAUUCAUAUUGCAGAAUGUGAUUUCAAAUCCUAUGCAUAAGCUGUUGGUGCAGUGACAUGAAUGCAUUGUGAAUGACAGACUGCAGAGUAGAAGUCCAAGGGGCAGGCUUUGUUUUGGAGUCCCACUGCCAAGGGGAAGAAACCGUUCAGGAGGAUCAAUGUUUUUGUAUUACGGAUCAGAACCUUUCUCCUAGAUGGAAGAGGUGGUGACCGGGAUGGGAAGGAUCAGCCAAGAUGUUUCCUGCUCCUCCUGGUCCAGGGAGAGGUGGCAGCUGGUGUGUGUGUGUGUGUGUGUGUCACAGGCUGACCCUGUGAUCUGCUCCAGACUGCCCUGUCUAUCCAUUGCGGUGGAGGCAAUCAGACUUUGAUAAUGAGCUGAGGAUGUAAUCCGUGAUGGCCGUGUGGAACUAGACCAUGGUUUCCUGGGGCAUCAGGUCGAAUUUAUAGCCAGAACACCUUCCUAACCUGAGCAUUCUUGAUGGUAGAGGUGAUGGAUAAGGUCCUCUAGGGAUUGAUGGGCCCAGUUGGUCAAAAAUAAUCUGCUCAGAUUAUGGCGGAUUGGAUGAAAUCUUGAAAUGGGUUGUUUAAAAGAAUGAAUAUAUAUUCUGAAAUAAAAACUUUGCAUAUUGUAUUAGUAAAAAGUACAUUAGUAGAGUACAAAGAUUUAUUUAUCAUUUACAAGUGUAAAACAGUACAUUAGGCUGCCAAUUGUGCCUUUCAAUACAAUCAAGACUGUCCUAAAAAUGAAGCCUUCAAUUAGCUGUCAAUAUCAAAGAUAAACAAUCUUUUAUAAAAUCAUUUGUUAUUAAUGUAUGGUAAAUAUAUGAGAUGAAUCAGUAAAUAAGUAGUUUGUUAGGUGAGUGCUGCAUGCAGCGAACAACCAUUCUUAUGUUUUAUUUAGGGCUUGGCAACAAUUAAAAGUUUUAAUUGCAAUUAAUCACAUAGUAUGUUGAGUUAACUCGCGAUUAAUCACAUUUUAAAUCAACC